UUUUUUCCUUUUAGGGUAGUCGGGGUUGGGGUGAUUAAUGAGAGGGCGUUAGGGGAGCAGGAGAGCGUAGCGUGCGCGGAAGGGGCUCGAACGGCAGUUGACGCAGCAGGCCUCGAACGGCAGUUGGCGCAGCGACACUGGUGAGACUAACGCAGUGUGUAGCCGACGAAGGAGGAGCAGAAGCUCGUGUGUUGGUGGGGUGGCAUGUCUAGGCCAUGUACGGGGAGGUAUGAGGUAGAAAGAGAGGUGGCUACGCUGGAGCCCCAAGGAGAGGUGGCUGCACUUGGGGCCUGACGGGAGCCCCGUGUAGAGUCCACGCGGUAGGGCCGUAAUCUCCCAGCUCGGGGGGUAGAGAAACCACCAACCGCGAACGCGUCCAAGCUCAACCGACUUAGCCGACGUGCUCAUCGUGGCCGGCCUGCAUCUUGGACGCAGCUAGCGGGAGUUAAAAAUCCCCUGUUUAGAGUCCUACCUUCUGUAGUAUGACAUAGACAUAAGCAUCACCUCCGAUACAAACCACCAUACGCAGUCGACUUCGCAUCAAGUGCUAUCGUGGACGACUUGUAGUAGCCUCGAUGUUAUCCCCUCUCCCACUACUGUCGGUCUUUUUCGAUCCUCUCUGCAACGAACUUGACCAAGUCCGAGUGAGACUUAACACUAACAUUAAAAGUAAAGGAACCUUUGUUAUAGUGUAUAUUUUCAUCGUAAAAAUACAAACAGUCUACGUUGAAAUACAAGAUAACCUAAGGUCACCCACCUUUGUUUUAAAACGUACUAACAUUUUUUCACAUCCAAUUGCA
rnacentral:rRNA from 1 species